UGCCACUGGUCUAUGUUUCACGUCACGAAGAGCCGGUUCCUUCUUGUUCUUCUGUGAAGGUGACAGCGUUAAGCAGCACUAACCUCCAUACUGUCUACUGCAAAGUUACGUCCGAGACCAUAAAAAUGUCGACCGUGUCUGCUGCCGCCGCGGAGCCUGCCGACAUCACUGAGAGUGGCGAGCAGAAGAAGCCGCUCAGGGCUUGCUGCGCUUGUCCUGAAACCAAGAAAGUCCGAGAUGCAUGCAUAAUUGAAAAGGGUGAAGAGAACUGCACAGAACUCAUUGAGGCUCACAAAGACUGCAUGAGGCAACUAGGAUUCAAGAUUUAACUGCUUUGCUAUUGUGUGCGUGCGUGUGGGUACGCACCGGAACUUGGAAUUUUGGCACGAAAAGUAACUUCACACGACACAGGUGAAUUUUGAAAACGAAAGUAAUGGAACUAAACGCUAUAAAACGUUGAUUCCUUUACCUACCCACCGUUGAGACACAAGCAAAACAGAUGACGACGACGACCCAGGAAGUUUUGUCCUUCCCCAUUUAUUUUUUUUGUGUGAUGACCACUGCAGUUGGAAUUUGAAUAAAAAAGUUCUAUGCAAACAUC